CCUACGGGAGGCUGCAGUGGGGAAUAUUGGACAAUGGGCGAAAGCCUGAUCCAGCCAUGCCGCGUGUGUGAAGAAGGCCUUCGGGUUGUAAAGCACUUUCAGUGGGGAAGAAAGCCUUGGGGCUAAUACCCUCGAGGAAGGACAUCACCCACAGAAGAAGCACCGGCUAACUCCGUGCCAGCAGCCGCGGUAAUACGGAGGGUGCGAGCGUUAAUCGGAAUUACUGGGCGUAAAGCGCGCGUAGGCGGUCUGAUAAGCCGGUUGUGAAAGCCCCGGGCUCAACCUGGGAACGGCAUCCGGAACUGUCAGGCUAGAGUGCAGGAGAGGAAGGUAGAAUUCCCGGUGUAGCGGUGAAAUGCGUAGAGAUCGGGAGGAAUACCAGUGGCGAAGGCGGCCUGCUGGACUGACACUGACGCUGAGGUGCGAAAGCGUGGGUAGCAAACAGGAUUAGAUACCCUGGUAGUC
rnacentral:rRNA from 1 species